rnacentral:rRNA from 1 species
GCACAACGCGAAGAACCUUACCUGGCCUUGACAUGCACGGAACUUUCCAGAGAUGGAUUGGUGCCUUCGGGAACCGUGACACAGGUGCUGCAUGGCUGUCGUCAGCUCGUGUCGCGAGAUGUUGGGUUAAGUCCCGCAACGAGCGCAACCCUUGUCCUUAGUUGCCAGCACGUAAUGGUGGGAACUCUAAGGAGACCGCCGGUGACAAACCGGAGGAAGGUGGGGAUGACGUCAAGUCAUCAUGGCCCUUACGGCCAGGGCUACACACGUACUACAAUGGUAGGGACAGAGGGCUGCAAGCCGGCGACGGUGAGCCAAUCCCAGAAACCCUAUCUCAGUCCGGAUUGGAGUCCGCAACUCGACUCCACGAAGUCGGAAUCGCUAGUAAUCGCAGAUCAGCAUUGCUGCGGUGAAUACGUUCCCGGGGUCUUGUACACACCG